rnacentral:misc_RNA from 1 species
GAAAUGCGAUAAGUAGUGUGAAUUGCAGAAUUCAGUGAAUCAUCGAAUCUUUGAACGCACAUUGCGCCCUUUGGUAUUCCAAAGGGCAUGCCUGUUCGAGCGUCAUUUGUACCCUCAAGCUUUGCUUGGUGUUGGGCGUCUUGUCUCUAGCUUUGCUGGAGACUCGCCUUAAAGUAAUUGGCAGCCGGCCUACUGGUUUCGGAGCACAGCACAAGUCGCACUCUCUAUCAGCAAAGGUCUAGCAUCCAUUAAGCCUUUUUUCAACUUUUGACCUCGGAUCAGGUAGGGAUACCCGCUGAACUUAAGC